GAUGAACGCUGGCGGCGUGCCUAAUACAUGCAAGUCGAGCGAACAGACGAGGAGCUUGCUCCUCUGACGUUAGCGGCGGACGGGUGAGUAACACGUGGAUAACCUACCUAUAAGACUGGGAUAACUUCGGGAAACCGGAGCUAAUACCGGAUAAUAUAUUGAACCGCAUGGUCCAAUAGUGAAAGACGGUUUUGCUGUCACUUAUAGAUGGAUCCGCGCCGCAUUAGCUAGUUGGUAAGGUAACGGCUUACCAAGGCGACGAUGCGUAGCCGACCUGAGAGGGUGAUCGGCCACACUGGAACUGAGACACGGUCCAGACUCCUACGGGAGGCAGCAGUAGGGAAUCUUCCGCAAUGGGCGAAAGCCUGACGGAGCAACGCCGCGUGAGUGAUGAAGGUCUUCGGAUCGUAAAACUCUGUUAUUAGGGAAGAACAAAUGUGUAAGUAACUAUGCACGUCUUGACGGUACCUAACCAGAAAGCCACGGCUAACUACGUG
rnacentral:rRNA from 1 species